rnacentral:rRNA from 1 species
AUUGAACGCUGGCGGCAGGCCUAACACAUGCAAGUCGAGCGGAUGACGGGAGCUUGCUCCUUGAUUCAGCGGCGGACGGGUGAGUAAUGCCUAGGAAUCUGCCUGGUAGUGGGGGACAACGUUUCGAAAGGAACGCUAAUACCGCAUACGUCCUACGGGAGACAGCAGGGGACCUUCGGGCCUUGCCCUAUCAGAUGAGCCUAGGUCGGAUUAGCUAGUAGGUGAGGUAAUGGCUCACCUAGGCGACGAUCCGUAACUGGUCUGAGAGGAUGAUCAGUCACACUGGAACUGAGACACGGUCCAGACUCCUACGGGAGGCAGCAGUGGGGAAUAUUGGACAAUGGGCGAAAGCCUGAUCCAGCCAUGCCGCGUGUGUGAAGAAGGUCUUCGGAUUGUAAAGCACUUUAAGUUGGGAGGAAGGGCAGUAAGCUAAUACCUUGCUGUUUCGACGUUACCGACAGAAUAAGCACCGGCUAACUCUGUGCCAGCCGCCGCCGUAAGAC